GGAAGUAAAAGUCGUAACAAGGUUUCCGUAGGUGAACCUGCGGAAGGAUCAUUAUCGUAGGGCGCUCGCGCCCUUCGAGAUAGCACCCUUUGUCUAUGAGCACCUCUUGUUUCCUCGGCAGGCCCGCCUGCCAACGGGGACCCAAAACAAACCCAUUGCAGUGAAGAAGUACACGUCUGAAGAAAACAAAAACAAACUAUUUACAACUUUUAACAACGGAUCUCUUGGUUCUGGCAUCGAUGAAGAACGCAGCGAAAUGCGAUAAGUAGUGUGAAUUGCAGAAUUCAGUGAAUCAUCGAAUCUUUGAACGCACAUUGCGCCCUUUGGUAUUCCUUAGGGCAUGCCUGUUCGAGCGUCAUUUCAACCCUCAAGCCUAGCUUGGUGUUGGGCGUUUGUCCCGCCUCCGCGCGCCUGGACUCGCCUCAAAAGCAUUGGCGGCCGGUUCCCAGCAGGCCACGAGCGCAGCAGAGCACGCGCUGAAGUGGCUGCGGGUCGGCGUACCAUAAAGCCCCCCCACAUCAGAAGUUUGACCUCGGAUCAGGUAGGGAUACCCGCUGAACUUAAGCAUAUCAAUAAGCGGAGGA
rnacentral:rRNA from 1 species